GCAGUGUGGGCGGGGCGUCUCCCCAAUCAUUGCACCUGCCAAUGUUCACCUUGUCAGCCACACUCUCCUCUGCAACAUACAGGCCAGUCUGAAGAUCUGACAAACUGUUGCCAGUUUGUCAGCUACUUUCACUGCCAUCCCCUCUCCUGCCCAACUCUCCAGUGCACCUCAGUUUGGUUUUUCUGACUGCCUUUGGUUCCUGCCUCCUUGACCUGGCCCUCUGCCCUGACAACAAACCAGUACUGAGUUCACUGUGUCUGCCUGCAGGUCCUGUGCUUGUCUUAAGGAGAUGCAACCAGAACUGUUGGUAAAAUGCAGACUGUCACCUCGAUUGUCCACCCUGCCGUCAUCUACCGUAUGUGAUGUCUCAACAAAUCAAAAACGGGCUGUGGAGCGCCAUCACUGAAGCUGACGUGAUAUAUACAGAUUCCACGCACGGCAGUGCAGAGCAAGUAGCCCCAGCAGAGGCCAGGGACGCCGUCUUUGUUGACGUGUCAGUCGCCAAGGCAGCAUCUCAGCAUGCUUCACCAGUGGCCAUGACAGGGGAUGCAGAGCCCAUGAAGGGGGAUUAGUGCUGCACCUAUUGUCUGAGGAGCAUAGCAGUGUUGGAUUCAAGGCUAUUCAAAUACUGUAUUUCUAUUCUUUGGCACUUGACAGGGACGCUCAGUGGCCCCACUCUUGUAUCAAAAUGUGUAAAUGUCAUGCCCCCAGUCGAAGCCCUUAUUAUCUCAGUUGACAUGACAAGCAAAGGUAGGAUGGUGGAUUCUGUUUUUGCUGUCUGCUGCCUGACCUGAAGGUUAGGCUCUCUCUCCUUUUUUUUUCUUUUUUUUUUUUUUUUUAAUGGGUUAGGUGGGAGCUUGUUCUUGUCUACGAAUUAUUCUUCAGUGUGUUCAAGCUGAAAGGAGAGCACUUUGACCUAGACUUAACCUUCAAAGGUUUUUGGUUGGAUUUGAUGUUAUGAAUACUAAAUUAAGGGAUUUUUUUCCUUUUGGUUGGUUGUUGGCUUUGUUUUAUUGACAUCCUUUUAUCAUUGAAAUCUGCCGUGACCUUGCAUACUCCAAUAUAACGCAGUACAAAAAAAAAAAAAAUCACCGUUUUAAAUCCCUCUCUUACAAAGAAAUGAUUUUUAAUUGUUGAAAAAGUUCUCGAAUUGUUCAUUUAGAUUUUCAUACAGUAUGUUUACGCCUGCUGCCUACUUAGUUUCAGUGUAUGGUAAUCUUUUACUCAACUCCACUGUGUUUAUAGAGCACUUGGAAACAGCCAUCACUGUAUACAAAGUGCUGUACAUGGAGCAAA